AUUGAACGCUGGCGGCAUGCCUAACACAUGCAAGUCGAACGGUAACGCGGGGGCAACCCUCGGCGACGAGUGGCGGACGGGUGAGUAAUACGUAGGAAUCUGCCCAUUUGUUGGGGGAGUAACCCGCGAAGCCGGGCUAAUACCGCAUACGCUCUACGGAGGAAAGCGGGGGAGUCUAAGACCUCGCGCUAAUGGAUGAGCCUACGUCGGAUUAGCUAGUUGGUAGGGUAACGGCCUACCAAGGCGACGAUCCGUAGCUGUCUGAGAGGACGAUCAGCCACACU
rnacentral:rRNA from 1 species